rnacentral:rRNA from 1 species
UACGAAGGGGGCUAGCGUUGCUCGGAAUCACUGGGCGUAAAGGGCGCGUAGGCGGCCAUUCAAGUCGGGGGUGAAAGCCUGCUGGCUCAACCACGAGAAUUGCCUUCGAUACUGUUUGGCUUGAGUCUGGUAGAGGUUGGUGGAACUGCGAAGUGUAGAGGUGAAAUUCGUAGAUAUUCGCAAGAACACCGGUGGCGAAGGCGGCCAACUGGACCAGUACUGGACGCUGAGGCGCGAAAGCGUGGGGAGCAGACAGG